GGAGAGAUGCCGGAGCAGCUGAACGGACCGGUCUCGAAACCGGAGUAGAGGGCAACUCUACCGGGGUUCAUCCCCCUCUCCGCCA
rnacentral:tRNA from 1 species